rnacentral:lncRNA from 1 species
UGGACUUGAUCAACAGUGUCUAUACUAGACGGUUCGAAGACAGAAGCGUUAUGUGGAACUCUCAUCUGUGUGUCGGCGAUUAUUUUGAGAGGAAGUGGAUUUACAGUGGUCGGCUUGAUUUCGGUUAAGUUGGUGUCGUUGGCCGCGGAUCUAUGGCAAUGAUAGAGAUCCUAUAAGAACCCUUGAGAUUUAGAUUUUUUCCCAUCCGCUGUAUGUUUGGCUUUUUUCUCCAUGGUCUUAGUGAUAAGCCUAAUCUAUUUGUGUAGUCCACUGUUUCUUCGAAAACCAGCCGGAGGUUCUGUUCCUGUGUUCUUUUGAG